rnacentral:rRNA from 1 species
AACGUAGGUUCCGAGCGUUAUCCGGAUUUACUGGGCGUAAAGCGCGUUCAGGCGGUUUGGCAAGUCGGGCAUGAAAUCUCUCGGCUCAACCGGGAGAGGUUGUCCGAUACUUCCAGACUUGAGGGCAGUAGAGGGUGGUGGAAUUCCGGGUGUAGUGGUGAAAUGCGUAGAUAUCCGGAGGAACACCAGUGGCGAAAGCGGCCACCUGGACUGCACCUGACGCUGACACGCGAAAGCUAGGGGAGCAAACGGG